rnacentral:rRNA from 1 species
CGUGUAGGCGGCCAUUUAAGUCUGGAGUGAAAGUCCUGUUUUUAAGGUGGGAAUUGCUUUGGAUACUGGAUGGCUUGAGUGCAGGAGAGGUUAUCGGAAUUCCCGGUGUAGCGGUGAAAUGCGUAGAGAUCGGGAGGAACACCAGUGGCGAAGGCGGGUAACUGGACUGCAACUGACGCUGAGGCGCGAAAGUGUGGGGAGCAAACA